GUGUCAGCAGCCGCGGUAAUACGAAGGGAGCUAGCGUUGUUCGGAAUUACUGGGCGUAAAGCGCACGUAGGCGGAUUUUUAAGUCAGGGGUGAAAUCCCAAGGCUCAACCUUGGAACUGCCUUUGAUACUGGAAGUCUCGAGAUCGGGAGAGGUGAGUGGAAUUCCUAGUGUAGAGGUGAAAUUCGUAGAUAUUAGGAAGAACACCAGUGGCGAAGGCGGCUCACUGGCCCGAUACUGACGCUGAGGUGCGAAAGCGUGGGGAGCAAACAGGAUUAGAAACCCGCGUAGUCC
rnacentral:rRNA from 1 species